UAGCAUGUGGGGACUCUCGGGACCCAAGAGGGAGAGUAACUCCUAAAGACGUGGAGGCUUCUAGUGCUUCAGGACAGACAGGCUAAAAGAAGAUGUGGCUCAGCCUCUGCCACCAUUUGAAGAAGCCCAGGUUGCUCUUGCUCCUUCUUUUAAGGCUCAAUGGUCCUGCUCAUCAAAGCAUUUCCCCAGCGAACACACAGUGGAGGGAAUUUAAAUUCCAUCUUGAUGGAAUUUGAACCAAAGCACACUGCCCAGUGUCACUUUAUACGCUGUGAAUCAUCAAGCCAGCUACGAAUACCUCGAGGGGUCCUUGCCGUUGUUCAACAUAAAUCAGUAAAAUGACAGGCAAUUGACUCUGAAGACAGCUUUCACAUGGCUGAGAGGCUGGAGCUGCUGGAAGCAAAUGAGGGCAUUUUUCUGUAAACCACUUGUGAUUAGCGCCAGAAUAAACAGUAGAUUGGGCUUUAUCCUCCACACCAC
ensembl:lincRNA BC028471 cDNA sequence BC028471